UACGAAGGGUGCAAACGUUAUUCGGAAUCACUGGGCGUAAAGGGUGCGUAGACGGCAUGUUAAGUUCGUUGUUAAAGGCUCCGGCCUAACCGGAGUACCGCGAUGAAAACUGGCGUACUAGAGGGUGAGAGAGAGAAGUGGAAUUCCUGGAGUAGCGGUAAAAUGCGUGGAUCUCAGGAGGAACACCAAUGGCGAAGGCAGCUUCUUGGCUCAUCCUGACGUUGAGGCACGAAAGCGUGGGGAGCAAACAGG
rnacentral:rRNA from 1 species